rnacentral:rRNA from 1 species
UACGUAGGGGCCAAGCGUUGUCCGGAUUUAUUGGGCGUAAAGAGCUCGUAGGCGGUUGGGUAAGUCGGGUGUGAAAACUCCAGGCUCAACUUGGAGAUGCCACCCGAUACUGCUCUGACUUGAGUUCGGUAGGGGAGUGGGGAAUUCCUGGUGUAGCGGUGAAUUGCGCAGAUAUCAGGAGGAACACCGGUGGCGAAGGCGCCACUCUGGGCCGAAACUGACGCUGAGGAGCGAAAGCGUGGGUAGCAAACAGG